CGAUUAAUAACGAACUCUAAAUAAUAUAACGAGAUAUUCGUGUAACAUAUAUAAAUAUAAUAAAGCUUAAUUAAUAAAUUAGGCACAAUAGAACAUUAUCAGCAUUAAAAAUAAACUAAUAUUAAAGUGUACYCUACACUUAGAAAAUACUUAAUGAUAUUUACGGGAUUUUAUGGCUUUACACUUAUCCUUAAGGGACAAAAACAUACAGUAACUGUACUGUAAGAGUGUCUAGAGAUGAAAUAACACUUUCUUUGUUUCCAAUUUUUUUCAGGAGGCUGUAAACCGCGGAUAACUGAACCGACCAAUAAGGACUGUCUGUCGACCCUACAAAUACAUCUAAUAGGGAUAGUGAUCCCUGCAGAAAC
rnacentral:rRNA from 1 species